rnacentral:rRNA from 1 species
UACGUAGGGGGCAAGCGUUGUCCGGAAUCAUUGGGCGUAAAGCGCGUGUAGGCGGCCAGAUAAGUCCGCUGUGAAAUCUCGAGGCUCAACUUCGAGCUGUCGGUGGAAACUGUCUGGCUAGAGUCCGGAAGAGGAGAAUGGAAUUCCUGGUGUAGCGGUGAAAUGCGCAGAUAUCAGGAGGAACACCGAUGGCGAAGGCAGCCCCCCUGGGCUAACACUGACGCUCAGGCACGAAAGCGUGGGGAGCAAACAGG